GUUCAAGACCUUACACUUGGAUUUGUUGAACCUCAUGAUGUUCACCUGAGCCUACUGCUCACAUCUGUCUAUGUUUCUCUGGAUGGCAUCCCAUCCCUCAGGUGUGUCAACCACACCACACAGCUUGGAGUUAUCCACCCAAGACUCUGCAAGUCUUGGCACAUAAUCCUGCUCCUCCCCUGCACACACCAUGUUUCCACUCAUAGGUUGAUAAAGGAAGCACUGCACAUCUUCUACUGAGCCACCAAGGAUGUGUCUGUAGCCCAGUGAAGACUUCUGGUGUGGGACAUUAAUGAUUUAUUCAUGGUCCUAUGUGCGUUUUCAAAUCAGGCAGCGCUUUCUAACAGAUGUGAUGGCAUGGCUAUUUCUUGUGUGCUCAUCUCCAAGGGAGGAAUCUCUGCUGCUCUUACGCUAUGCAAUCCAAGUAUGCUCCACAGUACUUCACUCCUUUCAAAUAGUGCUCUGCAGAGUGUCUUCUUCUUUGCUGUUUUUGGUCAGGGUAUGCUACAGUAAGUAGAAGUGAUUGGAUUUGCUGCCCCUGAUUACAUUCCUGCUAGCAUAAUUAAUUGUCACUUAGAAUAUGAUUUGCUGUUAGAAACAUAGUUUACUUGGAUUAAAACACCACUGAAUAAACAAGGCUAGAGAAAAGAAAAAUAGCUGCUGAAAAGACACCAUCUGCAUACAUUGGUUCAUAUCUUCUAAUUAGCCAUCAAAGAAACAGAAAUACUGAAAAGUUUCUUAAGGGCUGAGAGAAGUCCCACAGCAAUCUAUUGACUGUUUUAGAAUUAGUUUGCAUGUAACUAGUGGUCUUAAGUAUGACAAGCAUACAGUUAUUGACUGGAGAGUACCUGUACACUUCCCAUACAAUCUUUUGUAUGGCCUCCUCAUCCUCGUAACCCAAGUGAAUGCUGGUACGGUGCUGCCUGGAUAUGAUCAGCCAAAUGUCUAGCUGAAGCCAUGGUUCUUGAGAUCUCUACUACAUGUUCCAUAAAAUUGGAAAGAAUGGAGAAAUUGAAAUCUUGUCCCUUUUGGCACCUGUCUGUUCCAGAGUACAUGGGCGUUGAGGUGAAAGUUCACUGAUGCUCUGCUGUAGCUGUGAAUUCAAGAAAGCUAUUGUUCCCAUUGCUGAUUUGAAGGAUAAGUUCUUAUUCAAGAGCUUUUAGCAUUCAUGUUUCUAUUAUGCUCGAGUGGAAUAUUAAAAUGUCCAUUUUCUAAUGGCUGCAGAAAUAUCCUAGAACAGCUAGACAAAGCUACCGUGUCUAUGAACAGAUAACUAAGCUAAGAACAAACUUCUACAUUACACAUCAAAUGAGAGUUUAAAAUACUUUGUGCUCUUAGUUAGACUGAAAGAGAGAAAGAAUGUAUCACUGUAAAACUACCUAUUUAGCUCUUAACAGUCCUCACCCUGAAUCUUUCUGCCUUCCUUACAACAAGAAAAGUAAUUUGGUUUGGAAUAGUUCACAGGGGUUGCGUUCAAGGAAAGUUGCCUGGGUAAUGGAAAUAAGUAAUGGAAGUAGCCUCCCAAGCCUUUAUUUAUUUAUUUUAGGCUACUUGACCUGAUGCCUUUUGCUUUUUUUUUUCUUUCUUUCUUUUUUGGUUGAUAAAUGUCAUCAACAACUUUCUUGAGAACAGUACUCUUGAAAGUAACAACUCUGGCUGAAACUCAGAAGCAGCAUCAGGGAGUUGCAUAAGAGUUAAAAGCUGCAGCAUUUGACAGUGGGCCACAAAUUGUGACAGGUUUGUUCCUGAAAAGAGCAGAAAUUGUACCUCUAGAGAAGAAAGCCAGAAGGCUUGGCAGGACUUCACUCUCUGAGACUCUGUUCUUGCUCUGAUUCCCAGGUAGGGAAGUCACAGGCUUGUGCUGAAAUGUUUUUCACUAGCUUUCACCCCAGCCCAGAAAUGAAACCUGCUUAUUCCCCUGGUGAGGAACCAGCAACUCCCAAUGGCCUGGGCAUUUAAGGAGCAUGACAUCCAGAUCUGGAAGUAAACAUCACAGUCUUGGCUCUUCUCAAACUCAAGAACUGUUUACCUGAAUCCUGUUUACCUAAUACCUGUCACAGGAGAGAGCCCCUAUCCAGGAAGAUGUUAAAUGAUGCACUUAAGAUAACUGAGCACCUAACUGGUUGCUGAGAGGUGAUGAGGAUCCUUCUGAAACGUCACUCUGCUGUAGGGUACCAGGAUGCAAUGCUGUUUGCAAUGCACUUCAGAGAAACCAGCUAAUUAACACGUCCAUCACCAGCACAGCAGACCCAUCUCCUUGACAUCUCCAUGAAACCAGCUGGGAUCCAUUGGACAGCCUCUGGCUUGUUCCCAGAUGAGCUGGAGCAAACUCCUGAGAUUGCUUGUAACCAGAUCCAAAGCAAAGUCACACAGUCCAACUGAACAGCCCAGGGAAGGGUUCACCUACAGAGCUGCAUGGUCCAUACCUGGCCUUGGUACGUUACAUAUAACCAACUGGGUAGCUUGUUUUAAUUUGUCAACGUACAAACAGUGCUAUCUUCAACAUCUUUGCUCACAGAAUUAAAUUCUAUGCACAUGGCAGCUUGUGCUACAUGCUCCUGUGGUAAAUAAACACAAGUUGUCUCUGUAACUUCUGAAUUAAA